UGUGGCUAGGGUUUUCCUCAAAGACUCCAGUGAGUAACCUUGAGGAAGAUCAAGCUAUUAGGCACAUAGAUUGAAAACUUAAAAAGAAAGGACAUAAAGAAGAGUAAGAGAGGAAGAAAAGAAAAGAAAGGUUUUUAUUGUUAAGAUUGGACGUUGAAUCUUUCGAGAAUCGUGAAGCUUCAUCCUUAGAUCGACCAUAUCGUAUGCAAUCCUCAAAUCUGAGGGUUAGGUUGAAGUCCGUGGUUGCUACUUGAAUAUCAGAAGAGUAGCUUCAGACCAGAAGCGACUAUUUUAGUAGUGGUAGAAUUAGUUUGAUGUACUUAAGAAUCAUAGCAUGUAUAAUUAUUACAUUUUUGGAGAUUAUGUUAUUUGAAUUAUAACUUAAGCAUGUAAUGAUAAAUUAGUUUGGUGUA